UACGUAGGGUGCAAGCGUUGUCCGGAAUUAUUGGGCGUAAAGAGCUCGUAGGCGGCUUGUCGCGUCGGCUGUGAAAACUCGGGGGCUCAACUCCGAGCUUGCAGUCGAUACGGGCAGGCUAGAGUUCGGCAGGGGAGACUGGAAUUCCUGGUGUAGCGGUGAAAUGCGCAGAUAUCAGGAGGAACACCGGUGGCGAAGGCGGGUCUCUGGGCCGAUACUGACACUGAGGAGCGAAAGCGUGGGGGAGCGAACAGG
rnacentral:rRNA from 1 species